rnacentral:rRNA from 1 species
UACGGGGGGAGCAAGCGUUGUUCGGAUUUACUGGGCGUAAAGGGCGCGUAGGCGGUCAGCACAAGUCUCUAGUGAAAUCUCCGGGCUUAACCCGGAGCGGUCAAGUGAUACUGUCGUGCUAGAGUGCGGAAGGGGCAACUGGAAUUCUCGGUGUAGCGGUGAAAUGCGUAGAUAUCGAGAGGAACACCUGCGGCGAAGGCGGGUUGCUGGGCCGACACUGACGCUGAGGCGCGAAAGCUAGGGGAGCGAACGGG